CAUCCACAGAACUUUCCAGAGAUGGAUUGGUGCCUUCGGGAACUGUGAGACAGGUGCUGCAUGGCUGUCGUCAGCUCGUGUUGUGAAAUGUUGGGUUAAGUCCCGCAACGAGCGCAACCCUUAUCCUUUGUUGCCAGCGGUCCGGCCGGGAAACUCAAAGGAGACUGCCAGUGAUAAACUGGAGGAAGGUGGGGAUGACGUCAAGUCAUCAUGGCCCUUACGACCAGGGCUACACACGUGCUACAAUGGCGCAUACAAAGAGAAGCGACCUCGCGAGAGCAAGCGGACCUCAUAAAGUGCGUCGUAGUCCGGAUUGGAGUCUGCAACUCGACUCCAUGAAGUCGGAAUCGCUAGUAAUCGUGGAUCAGAAUGCCACGGUGGAUACGUUCCCGGGCCUU
rnacentral:rRNA from 1 species